rnacentral:rRNA from 1 species
UGGUAGGGGAGCGUUGUGUACGGGGUGAAACAUGAGCGGAAGCGCGUGUGGACUGUACAGAAGUGAGAAUGCCGGAAUGAGUAGCGCGAUUUAUGUGAGAAUCAUAAAGGCCGAAAGCCUAAGGUUUCUGGAGGAAGGUUCGUCCGCUCCAGGUAAGUCGGGAGCUAAGGUGAGGCCGAGAGGCGUAGCCGAUGCACAUACGGUAGAAAUUCCGUAACCGUCGAAGUAUUUAAGCAAAGGGACACUGAGGAAGUGUAUGACCCGGGCGAUGGUAGCCCCGGGCGAAAGGGACCGAAAUUUAGUAGGGAAGCAUGCAUGGAAACAGGCGAGAAAAGCUUUGUGAAUAUACAAGAUGCCCGUACCGCAAACCGACACAGGUAGGUAGGAUGAGAAUUCUAAGGCCAACGGGAGAAGUGUUGUUAAGGAACUCGGCAAGUUGACCCCGUAACUUCGGGAGAAGGGGUGCUCACGAGAGUGAGCCGCAGAGAAUAGGUCCAGGCGACUGUUUAGCAAAAACACAGCUCUAUGCUAAAUCGGAAGAUGAUGUAUAUGGGGUGACGCCUGCCCGGUGCUGGAAGGUUAAGAGGAGGAGUGAGAGCCCCGAAUCGAAGCCCCAGUAAACGGCGGCCGUAACUAUAACGGUCCUAAGGUAGCGAAAUUCCUUGUCAGGUAAGUUCUGACCCGCACGAAUGGCGUAACGAUCUGGACACUGUCUCAACAGCACGCCCGGCGAAAUUGUAGUACCGGUGAAGAUGCCGGUUACCCGCGACAAGACGGAAAGACCCCAUGGAGCUUCACUGCAGCUUAAUAUUGGAUUUCGGUAUUUCAUGUACAGCAUAGGUGGGAGGCUGAGAAACUAGGACGCCAGUCUUAGCGGAGCCGCCGUUGGGAUACCACUCUUGAAGUGCUGAAAUUCUAACCUGGAGCCAUGAAACUGGCUCGGGGACAUUGUUAGGUGGGCAGUUUGACUGGGGCGGUCGCCUCCAAAAAGGUAACGGAGGCGCUCAAAGGUUGGCUCAGCAUGGAUGGAAACCAUGCAAAAGAGUGUAAACGCAGAAGCCAGCCUAACUGCGAGACGGACAGGUCGAGCAGUAACGAAAGUUGGAGUUAGUGAUCCGGUGGUAUGUGAGUGGAAAUGCCAUCGCUCAACGGAUAAAAGCUACCCUGGGGAUAACAGGCUGAUCUCCCCCAAGAGUCCACAUCGUCGGGGAGGUUUGGCACCUCGAUGUCGGCUCAUCGCAUCCUGGGGCUGUAUUCGGUCCCAAGGGUUUGGCUGUUCGCCAAUUAAAGCGGUACGCGAGCUGGGUUCAGAACGUCGUGAGACAGUUCGGUCCCUAUCUGUCGUGGGCGCAGGAUAUUUGAGUGGAGCUGUCCCUAGUACGAGAGGACCGGGAUGGACGCACCUCUGGUGCACCAGUUGUCACGCCAGUGGCACAGCUGGGCAGCUAAGUGCGGAUCGGAUAAACGCUGAAAGCAUCUAAGCAUGAAGCCG